AUGUUAGAUACAUCGGGUUUAUCCAAGGCAUGGUGGGGGGAGGCUAUAUUGACGGCAUGUCAUGUCCUGAAUAACGUUCCGACAAAGGAUAAUGAGAUCACUCCCUAUGAGAAAUGGGCAAAGAGAAGGACAACACUCUCGUACUUGCGCACUUGGGGCUGUCUGGCGAAAGUCAAUGUGCCGAUCCCCAAAAAGCGUAAGCUUGGACCCAAGACUGUGGACUACGUUAAUUUGGGCUACGCUAAGAACAGCAUUGUCUAUAGAUUUCUAGUAGUGAAAUCUGAGGUACCUGACCAGAAGGUCGGUACAAUUAUGGAGUCUAAGGAUGCUACAUUCUUCGAGGAUAUUUUUCCUAUGAGAGAUAUGCAAAGCACUUCUAGACAGGAAUCUGAGGAGACUCCUGAACCUGCCAUCCCUAUGGAAUAUUAUGAACAAACACAUGAUAAAAAUCCCGAGGAGGAUGACGAGGAAACCCUUGGUAGGGGCAAGAGACAAAGGACUGCAAAGACCUUUGGUGAUGAUUUCUUUGUGUACCUCGUGGAUGAUACUCCCAUUUCUAUUUCAGAAGCGUAUGCCUCUCCAGAAGCUGACUACUGGAAGGAUGCGGUCCGUAGCGAGAUGGAUUCCAUCAUGGCUAACGAGACAUGGGAGAUCACUGAGCGUCCCUAUGGUUGCAAACCAUUAGGAUAUAAGUGGGUGUUCAAGAAGAAGCUUAGGCCCGAUGGUACGAUUGAAAAGUACAAGGCUAUGCUUGUGGCCAUGGGCUAUGACCAGAAAGAAGAGCAAGAUUUCUUCGACACUUAUUCACCUGUGGCUAGACUGACCACCAUUCGAGUAUUACUCUCAUUGGCAGCCUCGCAUGGUCUUCUCGUCCACCAGAUGGAUGUUAAGACGGCUUUUCUGAAUGGAGAGCUAAACGAGGAAAUCUACAUGCAACAACCAGAUGGCUUUGUGAUAGAUGGUCAGGAAAGAAAGGUGUGUAGGUUGCUGAAAUCUUUAUAUGGCCUGAAGCAAGCACCUAAGCAAUGGCAUGAUAAGUUUAAUACAACUCUGACAUCUGUUGGUUUCAUGUUAAUGAGGCUGACAAAUGUGUAUACUAUCGCCAUGGUGGGGGCGAAGGAGUUAUACUGUGCUCGUAUGUUGAUGACAUACUGA
rnacentral:rRNA from 1 species